AUGCAUAUGAUGAGUUACUCGGAUUCCCAUUCAAGACAGUUUGGGUGAUGUAAGCUCGAGUUUCUGAUGCA
rnacentral:snoRNA from 1 species